UUUGGUGUAGCUCAGUGGAUAGAGCACAUGGCUUGCAUAGGUGAGGUCCUGGGUUCAAUUUCCAGCACCAAAA
rnacentral:tRNA from 1 species